GGGCCAUAGCUCAGCGGUGGAGCAUUUGCCUUGCAUGCACAAGGUUGCAGGUUCAAUCCCUGACAGCCAACA